AAGAGCCCUCAGCAGCAUCGGCCAUUUGGCAGUGGUGGCAAAUGGAGUGAGCAGAGACUAAAUAUCUGCAUUCCACUGGUGGCCAUGAUAGUAAUAGAAAAUGCGUAAGGCGAAAGUGUUCUCACAGGACCAUACAGGGAAGUGAAUCAUCCUGGAUCACACAUGUCUGAGAUCCUGAGCUUCACACCUUGGGUCAGAUGUGUGUUGUCAGCUGAGAAACUGAGCUGCAUUCUUGAGCAUGAGCCAGACGCCUUGACAGAUGGUUAUUCUUUUCUGCUUGACCUCGAGUUACAGAGAUGCAGAUGAAGUCAAAGAGGAUACCAGAUGCAGCCAGUCUGCUGGGGAGGCACGUACGUCUGAGUGGGCCCAGCACAGCUGUUCUCCAGGGCAAGGCUUGGCCAUGGCAGCUGCCCCAGCGCCCGCAUUCAGCCCAACCCACCAGGUCACCCCAGUCCAGUCCGUGGUGCUCAGAUCCCCAAGCAAUCACAGGUCAGAGGCGGAAAGAACUACGUGAAUGUGUACAGUGAUAUUGGGCACAUGCUCUGAAGGAAGGGAAACCGAAGAACGUCAAGGGGCAGCGUUCAGAGGAGGGGAAAGAAUGCAGAGUCUGGGUGUGAUCCCUACCUGGACUCUCUUAGAAGCUCCACUAUCCUCUUCUCUAAUGAUCUGUCUUCCCAUUCCAGAAUUUCUUACCUUAACCUACUUAGCCUGAGUUAAAUAAGCAUCUGCAUGCAGAAAUAAAUAAGUGAGGGAAUUUGUACUUUUCUGCAAUUAGCGUGCAUUAUUUUUCUCAUCAAAACAAUAAAUGACGGAUAUAGGCCCACCUAUACGAAGUUAUGCCUUCUACUGGAGUCCAUAGAGAACUUCAGUCAGAUCUGCUUUCUCCCACCAGUAUUUGCUAUGUAUUUGCACUACUCACCUCCAUCCUGCUGACUUUAUCAUUUUCUCACGCUGAAUCACGAUUUGUAAAUUGAGGAAGGAAGCACGGAUAAGUAGGGAUGGUGCCACACUACCUCUCAGGCUGGGCGCUAGAGGGCAGAAGCUUCUAGGAAAUCUUCACAGGCAGACCUUCACUUCUAAAAAUGCCCAAGGAUCUACAACACUGGUGAACCUGGAGAACAUUAUCUUAAGUGAAAUAAGCCAGACCCAGAAAGACAAAUACUGCAUAUCUCACUCGUGUGGAAUCUAAAUAAACGUCGAGCUCACCAUAACACGGAGUAGUAGUAUGGUGGUUACCAUGGACUGGGGGAUGUUGGUUACAGGGUACAAAACUUCAGUUAUAAGGUGAAUAAGGUCUGGAAACCUACUUUACAGCACGGUGACUAUAGUUAAUAAUAAUGUGUUGUGGAGUACUGUGGCAUGCCUCUGUAAUCCCCACUACUCAGGAGGCUGAGGUAGAGGAUUGCUUGAGCCCAGGAGUUUGAAACCAGCCUGGCCAAUGUAGUGACAUCCUAUCUCUUUAAAAAAGGGGAAAAAAAUGUAUACGUGAAAUUUGCUAAGAAAAUAGAUCUUAAGCAUUCACACCACACACAAACAAACAUGACAGAUAUGUGACUAGUUUGAUUGUGAUAAUCACUUCACAAUGUACACAUAUAUCAAAACAUCACAUUGUACACCUUAAAUGUGUACAAUUUUUUUGUUUUUUGAGACAAAGUCUCACUCUGUUGCCAGGCUGGAGUGCAGUGGCACAAUCUCAGCUCACUGCUAUCUUGACCUCCUGGGUUCAAGCGAUUCUCCUGACUCAGCCUCCCAAGUAACAGGGACUACAGGCACACACCACCACGCCCAACU
rnacentral:lncRNA from 1 species